AGCAGGGUGGCGCAGUGGAAGCGUGCUGGGCCUAUAACCCAGAGUUCGAUGGAUCGAAACUAUUUCCUGCUA
rnacentral:tRNA from 1 species